rnacentral:rRNA from 1 species
UACGUAGGGUGCGAGCGUUGCCCGGAUUUAUUGGGCGUAAAGAGCUCGUAGGCGGUCCGUCGCGUCGGUCGUGAAAACUUGGGGCUUAACCCUGAGCUUGCGGUCGAUACGGGCAUGACUGGAGUUCGGCAGGGGAGACUGGAAUUCCUGGUGUAGCGGUGAAAUGCGUAGAUAUCUGGAGGAAUACCGGUGGCGAAGGCGGCAUCCUGGACCGACAUUGACGCUGAUGAGCGAAAGCUAGGGGAGCAAACGGG